rnacentral:rRNA from 1 species
AUGGCCAAGGCGAUGCCAGACCAGAAAUCCGGCGAUGCAGCAACGGCGGCAGCGAAUCCGCUCGAGUUUCAUGUGUACGGCCCCCGCAACCUGUCAUCCAUCAGCUGGAAAGAUCUCCUUAGCUCAAGCUGGAAGAACUCCAACUACCGGCGGAUGGUGAUCGCGUGCUUCAUCCAGGGGGCUUACCUGCUGGAGCUGGACCGGCAGGAGAAGCGCGACGAGCGCACCGGCCUCGCGCCGCAGUGGUGGCGCCCGUUCAAGUACAGGCUCGCCCAGGUGCUCGUCGACGAGCGCGACGGCUCCAUCUACGGCGCCGUCCUCGAGUGGGACCACCAGGCCGCGCUGUCCGACUACAUCCCAUUCCGCCCCACCCGUGCGCCGGCAGCCGUCGUGGCGCUGCGCGGUACGCUGCUCCGUGCGCCCACGUUCCGCCGCGACGUGGUGGACGACCUCCGGUUCCUGGCCUGGGACAGCCUCAAGGGCUCCGUCCGCUUCGCCGGCGCGCUGGCGGCGCUGCGGGACGCCGCGCGCAGGUUUGGCGUCGGCAACGUUUGCGUGGGCGGGCACUCGCUGGGAGCCGGGUUCGCGCUGCAGGUGGGCAAGGCGCUGGCCAAGGAGCGCGUCUUCGUGGAGUGCCACGUGUUUAACCCGCCGUCCGUGUCGCUGGCCAUGAGCCUCAGGGGGUUCGUCGAGACGGCCGGCGAGCUGUGGGGCCGUGCGCGCGCGUGGAUCCCAUACGUGGGUUCCCAGCCGGCGGUGGACACGAGCGGCGGCGACGGCCACAGUGAAAGUGAGGCGAGGGCGUCGCUGGCGCAGUCGGGGAUGGGAAGGUGGCUGCCGUACCUGUACAUCAACACGAACGACUACAUCUGCUGCCACUACAGCGACGCAGCGGGCGGGACGGCGACCGUGGCGGUCGACAGCGGGGGCGGGAACGGCGGUGGCAAAGCGGGGGUGGCGACGAUGCUUGUGGUGUCCAAGGGGCCGAGCAAAUUCCUGGCAGCGCACGGGCUGGAGCAGUGGUGGGCCGACGAUGUCGAGCUGCAGGUGGCACUCAACCACAGCAAGCUCAUCGACCGCCAGCUCAGGUCGCUCUACGCAGCGCCGCCUGCCGCACUGCGUGCCCGGAGUUAG